rnacentral:rRNA from 1 species
GUCUAUGACCAUACCACCCUGAAAGUGCCUGAUCCCAUCUGAUCUCGGAAGCUAAGCAGGGUUGGGCCUGGUUAGUACUUGGAUGGGAGAAUUAAAAAAUCAUGUGCC